CAACUUUCAACAACGGAUCUCUUGGCUCUCGCAUCGAUGAAGAACGCAGCGAAAUGCGAUAAGUAAUGUGAAUUGCAGAAUUCAGUGAAUCAUCGAAUCUUUGAACGCACCUUGCACUCCUUGGUAUUCCGAGGAGUAUGCCUGUUUGAGUGUCA
rnacentral:rRNA from 1 species